GGGACCAUAUGUCUCGUUGCAAGUCGGGGUUGAUUAGGUAGCCUCGGUCGAUGGGGCGGCGUAUGGCAGCGGAGGUUAGGUCUUCGGUUGUGGAGGAGAGGGUGGUUGUGGGGUGGAGGAAUUUUUUGGAUGUAAGAGGGCGGUAGAGGCAGUUUGGGAUUACGACGGCGGGGUUGCGCUCGCCUCCUUGGCCCGCUUUUAACAGGCCUCCGCCGUUGUCGAGAACGACGACGUUUGACAUUGGGGAAAUGGGAGAUCGGUUCCUCGAAAGGGGUUGGCGGGUUUUUCAGGAUUUAUGAGAGGAUUAAGGAGACGCUGGGCUUGAACAUGUUAGAACAUGGGAGCACGUAUUAAUAAAAUUCAUUUAUACUUACCGACACUUACCGUUUGGAUAAAAUAAAAGGGAAAGAAGUUUCUUGGUCUAUCUAAAGGAAGCAAGUCCUUGUCUAAAGGAACGAUGGGAAUUGCCAUGGAUAUCCAAAUUUAGAUGGUGCAAACUGCCAAGGGAACAACUCCUUCCUUGAAGUAAAAUUUAGAUGGUGGCGUAUGUUGUUAGAGCUUCGAGUUGUGUCUCCGCUGCAGCCGCUCUUGGGCGGCAAUCAAAGCUUCCCAAUAACCCAAAGCUUGUUGAAAAUUAUGCAGAGAAUAAACUGCUUCCGAGCAAAACGAGUAGAACCAGUCGACAAGGUCAUGGUCAGCGCAUGCCAUCUGACGUAUGGACCAGCUCAUCGUUUCUAGAUUUCAGCCUAUGAGAUGCCGGACGUGUUCAAAACCAACUCCAUGGUUCAAAGAAACGUUUUGUUAAGGCUGUCUUCAGCCAGCAAGCAUUUCUUAUAUUCUGUAACGUUUUGAAUAAGAAUGUACACCCAUGAAAGAGGGCCAAAAUAUCUUCCUUGCAUAACAGUAAGAAUAUUGCAGAAAACACAGAUAUUAUGAUAACUAUCCAUCAUAUACUUAUACUGUA